rnacentral:rRNA from 1 species
GACGAACCGAGCGAACGUUGUUCGGAAUCACUGGGCUUAAAGGGCGCGUAGGCGGGCUGUCGCGUCCGGGGUGAAAUCCCACGGCUCAACCGUGGAACUGCCUCGGAUACGGGCGGCCUCGAGGGGGGUAGGGGCAUCUGGAACUGUGAGUGGAGCGGUGAAAUGCGUUGAUAUUCACAGGAACUCCGGUGGCGAAGGCGAGGUGCUGGACCGCUCCUGACGCUGAUGCGCGAAAGCCAGGGGAGCAAACGGG